GCCUGAGAGUUUUUCAGAGAAAGAACCGGUGCCCAAUUGUUCCCCAGAGGAAUCACCCAUACCAAAGUAUUCCCCACAGGGAGCCCCCAUGCUCAAAUGUUCCCCACAGAGAGCAUCUGUGCCCACUAGGAGCACACAGGGAGCAGUGGUGCUUGAGAGUUCCCCACAGGGAGCACCUGUGCAUGAGUUAUCCCCAAUAGGAGCAUUCAUGCCCAAGUGUUCCUGUGAGGACCGAAGUCAGAAACAAGGAACACAAGUUUUCCACUGAAAAAUGGGACUUUAUUUGAACCCAAGAAACAAAACAACUUUACAAAAUCAUAAAUUUCUUACAACACAACAAAAUAAAAUAAACAAAAAGAAAAUAAAGUCAAAACAUUCAGACAGAAAAACCCAACAAACUAAAACUGACCUACCCAGUGGGAGCACUCGUUUCAGUCUCUUUACCACAAGUAUUACCUGUUCACUCCUCUUUCCCAAAAGGAGUGAUAGUGGCCUCCCCUUUUCCAGAGGAAUCGGCUAUACCUGCCCCUCUGCCUGGGGGAGUGGCUGAGCCUGCCUUUUUUGCACAGCAAGUGUCUGUGCCCACCUCUUUCACACACGAAAUGGCCAUGCACUCUUCUUUAACACAAGAAGUGCCCAUGGAUGUCUCCUUCCCACAGAGAGUGGAAGUGCCCACUCCUUUUUCCAAGGGAGAAGCCUCAUCCCCAUCCCAGCUGCAUUUGCCUAUCUCUUUCCUGGGUAGAGUAGACAAGUUUUCCUCUGUUCCAGAGGGAGCACUAUUGCCAGCAUCUUUACCACAUGGACAAAGCUCAUCAGACCAGAGCCUGAGAGCUUUUGGCAGCCUUCAGCAUACAACCUUUCUAAGCUCCCAGCCCAGUCUGAAAAGGAAGUGCCCAUGGAGCAAAAGAGCAACGGUUUGUACUUCCUCCUAUCUCUUACUUUUGAGUGAUGAGAUGGUCAUGAUGCUGGAAAAACCCAAAUUAUUUACCGUUAUACAGCAUUGUCUUCAACUAAACAUCCUUGUUUUCUGGAACCUUUUCUGGAAAAACUUUUUAUCACAUUUCAAUCUCAGUCCGGUUUUUCAAUUCAUAGAGCCCUUAUGUUAAAAUGGUAGAAGUGACAGGCUGCCUUUUUCCUACAGGGAGCACCAGUGCCUGCCUCUUUACCACAUGGACAAAGCUCAUCAGAUCAGAGCCAGAGAGCCCCUACCCCAUUCCAGUCGCAUGUGUCCAUCUCUUUUCCUGGUGGAGUGUACAAGGUUUCCUCUGUUCCAGAGGGAGCACCAGUGCCUGCCUCUUUACCACAUGGACAAAGCUCAUCAGACCAGAGAGCUUUGAGGAGCCCUCAGCCUAUAGCCGGUCCAAGCUCCCAGCCCGGAAGAGGAAGUGGCAAUGCGACGAAGGACAGUGUAUUUGUGUGUCCUUCACACAAAAAAACAAUGCACGGAAAAGGAUGAGAAGGUACAGCAGAAGCCUCAAAGGAGGAGAAAAAAGAGGAACCAGAGGGUUCCCUGUAGGCAGCAAUUAAGACCUUGUCCAAGCUCCCAGCCUAAUCUGAUAAGGAAAUAUCCAUGCAGCAGAAAAUAAUUGGACAAUUUUGAUGAACGUAAGCUGCCCCAUCAACUGUAAAAUGCACACCACAAGCAGAGAGCUCAUUGGAACCCACAUGCCCCUCAACUACAACAAUCACAUCUAAGGAAAAGAGCUCUGAGGCUUCACCCAAGAGCUUAUCCAUGGUUCCAGCGCAGUUUGUGGAGGCAGCAGAACCCUCAUGACUCUCAGCGAAGACCAUCACAUCUAGGGCAAAGAGCUCAGAGGCUUCACCAAAAAACCUAUCCAUGGUUCCAGCGCCGUUUGUGGAGGCAGCAGAACCCUCAUGCCUCUCAGCCACGACCAUCACAUCUAGGGCAAAGAGCUCUGAGGCCUCAUCCAAGAAGCCUAUCCAUAGUCCCAAUCUAGUUCGUGGAGGCAGCAGAACCCUCAUAUCUCUUAGCCAUGAGCUAAGAGCUCUGAGGCUUGGAGAAGACAAACAGUGAAGACUACAGAAUCAUCACAAUCCCCCUCAUCUAAAAUAUUUAGUAAUUACAUUACUCCAUCUACCCUUGUAAAACUAAUCCUGUCCGAAUAGGACUUAAGACCAUCAAACAAAUACCAAACAGCUUAGAAAAGCCUUUAUCAAGGAGAAUAUACAUGAACAUCAUUGUUAUAUGCAUGAGCUAGAUAGAGCCAAAAUCUGCUUUACACUGUUUCUUCUGCCUGUCAGAGAUAGGUUGAUUUGUUUUAAUGUCCUAUGUGUCAUAAACCAACAACUUACCUUCGUCCAUAGGUACUGAUAAAAGGGUUAGAACUUGUCUGUAUUGUCUUAAAUUAGUCAAAAAUCCUCACUGUUCACCAAUAAGGGGUAUAUCGUGUACAUAUUUGUUUGUCUCAAUAAAUUAAAGCAAAGUCUUAAUUUAAGGUUUGCCGUUUCACUCACUUUUUGGUUUUAAUGAUUCAUUAAUGAAAAGCUUAACCCAAAAAUUUGUCCUUUGACAGCCCAGGGGCUGUCCACAUCCAUUUUUAUUAUAAGAUAGCAGUUCAGACAUUCUGCUUAAUAUCUCCUUACAUUGUGAGUUCCAUGGAAUAAAGUAAUACAGAUUUGGAAUGGCAUGUGGGUAAAUUAUGACAGAAUUGUCAUUUUGGAAUUGUCAAACUUUAAUCACUUUAAUAUUACAACAUAAACAAAUGUUGCAGGUUAUGUUGCCUGCAGAAAAAAAAA